rnacentral:rRNA from 1 species
GACGAACGCUGGCGGCGUGCUUAACACAUGCAAGUCGAACGGAAAGGCCCUGCUUUUGUGGGGUGCUCGAGUGGCGAACGGGUGAGUAACACGUGAGUAACCUGCCCUUGACUUUGGGAUAACUUCAGGAAACUGGGGCUAAUACCGGAUAGGAGCUCCUGCUGCAUGGUGGGGGUUGGAAAGUUUCGGCGGUUGGGGAUGGACUCGCGGCUUAUCAGCUUGUUGGUGGGGUAGUGGCUUACCAAGGCUUUGACGGGUAGCCGGCCUGAGAGGGUGACCGGCCACAUUGGGACUGAGAUACGGCCCCGACUCCUACGGGAGGCAGCAGUGGGGAAUAUUGCACAAUGGGCGGAAGCCUGAUGCAGCAACGCCGCGUGCGGGAUGACGGCCUUCGGGUUGUAAACCGCUUUCGCCUGUGACGAAGCGUGAGUGAAGGUAAUGGGUAAAGAAGCACCGGCUAACUACGUG